rnacentral:rRNA from 1 species
CCUACGGGUGGCAGCAGUAGGGAAUAUUGCUCAAUGGGGGAAACCCUGAAGCAGCAACGCCGCGUGGAGGAUGAAGGUUUUAGGAUUGUAAACUCCUUUUGUGAGAGAAGAUAAUGACGGUAUCUCACGAAUACUCACCGGCCAACUCCGUGCCAGCAGCCGCGGUAAUACGGAGGGUGCAAGCGUUACUCGGAAUCACUGGGCGUAAAGGGUGCGUAGGCGGGUUGGUAAGUCAGAUGUGAAAUCCUGUGGCUUAACUACAGAACUGCAUUUGAAACUGUGAGUCUAGAGUGUGGGAGAGGUAGGUGGAAUUCUUGGUGUAGGGGUGAAAUCCGUAGAUAUCAAGAGGAAUACUCAUUGCGAAGGCAGCCUACUGGAACAUGACUGACGCUCAUGCACGAAAGCGUGGGGAGCAAACAGGAUUAGAUACCCUUGUAGUC